GAUGAACGCUAGCGGCAGGCUUAACACAUGCAAGUCGAGGGGCAGCAUGAGACGGAGAUUCGUCGAAGUCUUGAUGGCGACCGGCGCAAGGGUGCGUAACGCGUGAGCAACUUGCCCGUUUCUGGGGAAUAACCGGUGGAAACGCCGACUAAUACCCCAUAGUAUGCUUUUAAGGCAUCUUUUAAGCAUUAAAGAAUUUCGGAAACGGAUAGGCUCGCGUGACAUUAGCUAGAUGGCGGGGUAACGGCCCACCAUGGCGACGAUGUCUAGGGGUUCUGAGAGGAAGGUCCCCCACACUGGAACUGAGACACGGUCCAG
rnacentral:rRNA from 1 species